UAGGUCUGACCUAGCACUUCCCACCAGCACAUCCCAAAGGGCUGUCACAGCAGAGGCUGGGGCUGCUGUCGCCCUACUCCACAUGUAGAGGAAAGCACAGCGAGGGCACAACUCUUGAGCUGUGCACAGCUCUCCCCAAUCCCCAUCCAGGGCUUUAGUCCCGGGCCCAUGCUGCGAACUGUUGAGCAAGCCGGCUUUGUCUGAGGUUCAGGACCCCACUGGGGCUUCACGUCGCCCAGCUGAGCAGUGCUGCAUCCCACAGCCAAACACCAGCUUGCUUGGCCUGGCUGGGGCUGUGCAGAGGGGUCCUGACUGCCACCUGGGCCUGGGCUGAGCCCUCAUGCUGCCAGAGCAACUGAAUUGGUGCAGCUCUGCGGGGGUCAAAGAGCUGGUGUUUCAUCUGACCUUCUCCCAGGGCCAGGUAAACCAGCAGGCUCUGCAUGAUGCCCAGGCUCAACAGCCGGCUGUGCAGCAGGAGGCAAACCUGGGGCCCGCUUGCUGCAUGCUCCUUGCAGAAGAGGUGGUCAGACAUGGGUGGAUCAUGGGUCCUCUUGGGAGAGGGACAAUCACGCUAGGGUGAGAGCAGAGCUGGCCCCUGACCCUGCUAAUAGAGGAGGAGGCCGGCUUGACCCACAAUCAACCUGGACAGCCCCAAGUUUACAUCAGGGAGGGAGCAUUAGCCCCCGCCAGGAAACGGAGGUAGGGUCCCAUGAGGUCAAGGAGAACCAGAAUAACCUGCCCCUGUGUGUAGAGGCCAGCACCCAGGCAGAUGGCCCUGGGCAUGAACAUGCCAGCACCCAGACCCAGGCCCUCUGCUGGGCGGAGAUGAGGUGCCAGACUGAACCCCUGCCUGUGACAGACGCGAGCACCCAAACUAAGUCUUGCCGACAUCAAAAACAACUAGGACAGGGAGAGAGACUCGCCUGGACCAUCCCAUGCUGUUUUGCCCCCAGGAGAUGAACAGCUGAACUCCUCCCCUCCCCACGCACCCCUGUCGUCUCCUCCCUCCAUCCUCCCCUGCCUGAUCCGGGAUGGGCCCACAGGAAGCCAGUGUUGGUGAUUCUGCCUCUCUGAGCAUGCCCCUGCCCACCACACCUCAGCACUGCAGCUUCAGUGACCUGGUUGCAAUCAAGGCAGGCAGUGCCACACUGAACAGAGGAGCCCUGCUGAUUGCCCCAAGGACCGGGUACAAGAGCUUAAGGGUGGGCCCAGAGACAGAGGCACACAGGGCUUUCACCAGGACACUUUAAACAGGCUUGGAUGCUCUCCCAGCUUUCAGAAGAUCAGGCUUUCUGCAAGGUCAGCACAGCUGGGGAAGCAUUGGACACUCGUAUUUUUCUGUAGCAUCUGGGAAAAACCUGGACAUUCAACUUGCCACGUGAAGGAAUCCAGCAGGUUCCCCUGUAGCACAAGACAGGUGGGAAAGCAUCGCACGCUCUCCUGACUGCUGCAGCACUGGGGACCCGGGCAGAGAAGAAAAGACAACGUCAUCACACCAAGAUGUCACCAGGGCUAAUGCCAAGACCCGAGGAGAAAAGGGUGAGCUGCAGAGAAGGAGGAACCCCAGACAAGUCAUGAAUAUGCUGUCAUAGCUAGACCCUCAGGGAACCACUGACCACCACCUCCAGGCAAGUGAAGUUUCACCCAGUGGAAACAACAAAGGCGUGGCAUGGCAUGGCAUGACCCAGAGGGGUGGGACUUGUCUGUGGCCCAUCGGCCACUGCGUCUGGCAUGAGCCUGUCACAAAACCCUUCCCCCACUGCAAUAAAAGUCUCUUUGAUCAGUUUGUCCUGUCUCCUUUCUGACACUAAGCCAAGCCCAGGACGAUUGCAGUGAGGCCUGGUGUUGGCAGUGGGAUGCUAGUCGAGAACCAGAGGGGUGAGGACGCUGCAGCACUGCAGCCUCCCCGUGCAGUUGGCCCAGGCACAGCAGGACGCCUGAUCCAGCCCAUCGCCCGACUUCCCACUGCGUCCAGAGCUGCCCUGUGUCCCAGCCCCAGCAAUCACGCUG